rnacentral:rRNA from 1 species
GACGAACGCUGGCGGCGUGCCUAACACAUGCAAGUCGAGCGAUGAAGUUCCCUUCGGGGGAUGGAUUAGCGGCGGACGGGUGAGUAACACGUGGGCAACCUGCCUCAUAGUGGGGGAUAGCCUCCCGAAAGGGAGAUUAAUACCGCAAAAGAAGUGGAAACCGCAUGGUUUCAGCUGUAAAGGAGUAAUCCGCUAUGAGAUGGGCCCGCGGCGCAUUAGCUAGUUGGUAAGGUAAUGGCUUACCAAGGCAACGAUGCGUAGCCGACCUGAGAGGGUGAUCGGCCACAUUGGAACUGAGAUACGGUCCAGACUCCUACGGGAGGCAGCAGUGGGGAAUAUUGCACAAUGGGGGAAACCCUGAUGCAGCAACGCCGCGUGGGUGAUGAAUGUCUUCGGAUUGUAAAGCCCUGUCUUUUGGGACGAUAAUGACGGUACCAAAGGAGGAAGCCACGGCUAACUACGUGCCAGCAGCCGCGGUAACAC